AGGGGGUUAGUCCAACAAAAGACCUCUGAUUUCGGCUCAGAAAAUUGUGGUUAGACCCCGCAACCCCCUU
rnacentral:tRNA from 1 species